UGAGGAAUUUUGCGCAAUGGGCGAAAGCCUGACGCAGCGACGCCGCGUGGAGGAGGAAGGUCUUCGGAUCGUAAACUCCUGUCAAGAGGGACGAAUCCGGUAAGGAUGAAUAAGUCUUGCCGUUGACGGUACCUCUGAAGGAAGCCCCGGCUAACUCCGUGCCAGCAGCCGCGGUAAUACGGAGGGGGCUAGCGUUGUUCGGAAUUAUUGGGCGUAAAGGGCGCGUAGGCGGCCCGGCAAGUCAGUCGUGAAAGCCCUCGGCUCAACCGAGGAAUUGCGAUUGAAACUGCCGAGCUUGAGUCCUGGAGAGGGUAGCGGAAUUCCCAGUGUAGCGGUGAAAUGCGUAGAUAUUGGGAGGAACACCCGUGGCGAAGGCGGCUACCUGGACAGGUACUGACGCUGAGGCGCGAAAGCGUGGGGAGCAAACAGGAUUAGAUACCCCCGUAGUCC
rnacentral:rRNA from 1 species